GGGGAUUUAGCUCAAUGGUAGAGCACUUGCCUAGGAAGCGCAAGGCCCUGGGUUCAGUCCCCA
rnacentral:tRNA from 1 species